GAUACACAAUGGUGCAGCGGGAC
rnacentral:siRNA from 1 species